rnacentral:rRNA from 1 species
GAUUAAGUUAUUAAGGGCGCACGGUGGAUGCCUUGGCACUAGAAGCCGAUGAAGGACGUUACUAACGACGAUAUGCUUUGGGGAGCUGUAAGUAAGCUUUGAUCCAGAGAUUUCCGAAUGGGGAAACCCAGCAUGAGUUAUGUCAUGUUAUCGAUAUGUGAAUACAUAGCAUAUCAGAAGGCACACCCGGAGAACUGAAACAUCUUAGUACCCGGAGGAAGAGAAAGAAAAUUCGAUUCCCUUAGUAGCGGCGAGCGAAACGGGAAGAGCCCAAACCAACAAGCUUGCUUGUUGGGGUUGUAGGACACUCUAUACGGAGUUACAAAGGACGACAUUAGACGAAUCAUCUGGAAAGAUGAAUCAAAGAAGGUAAUAAUCCUGUAGUCGAAAAUGUUGUCUCUCUUGAGUGGAUCCUGAGUACGACGGAGCACGUGAAAUUCCGUCGGAAUCUGGGAGGACCAUCUCCUAAGGCUAAAUACUCUCUAGUGACCGAUAGUGAACCAGUACCGUGAGGGAAAGGUGAAAAGCACCCCGGAAGGGGAGUGAAAUAGAACCUGAAACCGUGUGCUUACAAGUAGUCAGAGCCCGUUAAUGGGUGAUGGCGUGCCUUUUGUAGAAUGAACCGGCGAGUUACGAUUUGAUGCAAGGUUAAGCAGUAAAUGUGGAGCCGUAGCGAAAGCGAGUCUGAAUAGGGCGUUUAGUAUUUGGUCGUAGACCCGAAACCAGGUGAUCUACCCUUGGUCAGGUUGAAGUUCAGGUAACACUGAAUGGAGGACCGAACCGACUUACGUUGAAAAGUGAGCGGAUGAACUGAGGGUAGCGGAGAAAUUCCAAUCGAACCUGGAGAUAGCUGGUUCUCUCCGAAAUAGCUUUAGGGCUAGCCUCAAGUGAUGAUUAUUGGAGGUAGAGCACUGUUUGGACGAGGGGCCCCUCUCGGGUUACCGAAUUCAGACAAACUCCGAAUGCCAAUUAAUUUAACUUGGGAGUCAGAACAUGGGUGAUAAGGUCCGUGUUCGAAAGGGAAACAGCCCAGACCACCAGCUAAGGUCCCAAAAUAUAUGUUAAGUGGAAAAGGAUGUGGCGUUGCCCAGACAACUAGGAUGUUGGCUUAGAAGCAGCCAUCAUUUAAAGAGUGCGUAAUAGCUCACUAGUCGAGUGACACUGCGCCGAAAAUGUACCGGGGCUAAACAUAUUACCGAAGCUGUGGAUUGUCCUUUGGACAAUGGUAGGAGAGCGUUCUAAGGGCGUUGAAGCAUGAUCGUAAGGACAUGUGGAGCGCUUAGAAGUGAGAAUGCCGGUGUGAGUAGCGAAAGACGGGUGAGAAUCCCGUCCACCGAUUGACUAAGGUUUCCAGAGGAAGGCUCGUCCGCUCUGGGUUAGUCGGGUCCUAAGCUGAGGCCGACAGGCGUAGGCGAUGGAUAACAGGUUGAUAUUCCUGUACCACCUAUAAUCGUUUUAAUCGAUGGGGGGACGCAGUAGGAUAGGCGAAGCGUGCGAUUGGAUUGCACGUCUAAGCAGUAAGGCUGAGUAUUAGGCAAAUCCGGUACUCGUUAAGGCUGAGCUGUGAUGGGGAGAAGACAUUGUGUCUUCGAGUCGUUGAUUUCACACUGCCGAGAAAAGCCUCUAGAUAGAAAAUAGGUGCCCGUACCGCAAACCGACACAGGUAGUCAAGAUGAGAAUUCUAAGGUGAGCGAGCGAACUCUCGUUAAGGAACUCGGCAAAAUGACCCCGUAACUUCGGGAGAAGGGGUGCUCUUUAGGGUUAACGCCCAGAAGAGCCGCAGUGAAUAGGCCCAAGCGACUGUUUAUCAAAAACACAGGUCUCUGCUAAACCGUAAGGUGAUGUAUAGGGGCUGACGCCUGCCCGGUGCUGGAAGGUUAAGAGGAGUGGUUAGCUUCUGCGAAGCUACGAAUCGAAGCCCCAGUAAACGGCGGCCGUAACUAUAACGGUCCUAAGGUAGCGAAAUUCCUUGUCGGGUAAGUUCCGACCCGCACGAAAGGCGUAACGAUUUGGGCACUGUCUCAACGAGAGACUCGGUGAAAUCAUAGUACCUGUGAAGAUGCAGGUUACCCGCGACAGGACGGAAAGACCCCGUGGAGCUUUACUGUAGCCUGAUAUUGAAAUUCGGCACAGCUUGUACAGGAUAGGUAGGAGCCUUUGAAACGUGAGCGCUAGCUUACGUGGAGGCGCUGGUGGGAUACUACCCUAGCUGUGUUGGCUUUCUAACCCGCACCACUUAUCGUGGUGGGAGACAGUGUCAGGCGGGCAGUUUGACUGGGGCGGUCGCCUCCUAAAAGGUAACGGAGGCGCUCAAAGGUUCCCUCAGAAUGGUUGGAAAUCAUUCAUAGAGUGUAAAGGCAUAAGGGAGCUUGACUGCGAGACCUACAAG